GAUUUUUCAUUCCAGCGUCAUCCUCUCUGACGAUUUCUCCCUCUGGUUUGAGCAAAACAAGAUAGUUAAAGAGAUUUUAUUUGUCACUCGUGUCCUACAUUCUGAAAGAAAAUCCCAUUGGUUCUUCUAAACCGCUCGGCAAUGUACAUUUGCAUCUUCAUUCUGUCUCGUGAUUUUUUUCAAUCUUUAAGUACCAUGAGGAAUUCUGAAAGUGAUUAAUCCCUUCAUUAUUCUCUGCCCUGUUGAAUUCUUCCAGAGAUUCAGAAAGGAGGACAUGCAACUGUUGGGAUCGGAUGCAUUUACGCGGAGGUCAAAUUCUUUACAAAGAGCAUGUACUUGUUACUCUUGCCAGUUUCUGGUUUUUGAACUAGCCAAAGCAUCUGCAUUUUAUGAACUACCUAUGAUGAUUUCCUGCUGAUUAUAGUAGUUGGU
rnacentral:lncRNA from 1 species